rnacentral:rRNA from 1 species
UACAGAGGUCUCAAGCGUUGUUCGGAUUCAUUGGGCGUAAAGGGUGCGUAGGCGGCGCGGUAAGUCGGGUGUGAAAUCUCGGAGCUUAACUCCGAAACUGCAUUCGAUACUGCCGUGCUUGAGGACUGGAGAGGAGACUGGAAUUUACGGCGUAGCGGUGAAAUGCGUAGAUAUCGUAAGGAAGACCAGUGGCGAAGGCGGGUCUCUGGACAGUUCCUGACGCUGAGGCACGAAGGUCAGGGGAGCAAACGGU